GAGUUUGAUCCUGGCUCAUGAUGAACGCUAGCGGCGUGCCUGAGAUAUGCAAGUCGAGCGGUUUGAUGCCCGCAAUGGUAUCGGACAGCGGCGGACGGCUGAGUAACACGUAUGAAUCUGCCCCUUUCUGGGAAAUACCCUCGCGAAAGCGAGGCUAAUGUCCCAUGGUAUCUCCGGAUUAAAGGACGUAACUGUCCGGAAAGGGAUGAACCUGCGUUCUAUCAGGUAGUUGGUGGGGUAAUGGCCUACCAAGCCGACGACGGAUAGCUGGUCUGAGAGGAUGACCAGCCAGAGGGGGACUGAGACACGGGCCCCACUCCUACGGGAGGCAGCAAUCAGGAAUAGUCGGCAAUGGGCGAAAGCCUGACCGCGCGACGCCGCGUGUAGGAAGAAGCUCUAAACGAGCGUAAACUACUGUGGUAUAGGAAGAAGUCCCGACGUAAGUCGGGGUUGACGGUACUAUAUUAGAAAGGGGCCGCUAACUGCGUGCCAGAAGCGUCGGUAAUACGUGGGCCCCAAGCGUUAUCCGGUAUCAUUGGGCGUAAAGGGUCGUGUAGGUGGCUUGACAAGUUAUCUUUUAAAUUUCCUCGCUCAACGAGGAGUAGGGAGAUAAUACUGUCAAGCUAGAGUUUUCUUUAGGGUGACUGGAACUGAGGGAGGAGUAGUGAAAUGCGUUGAUACCCUCGGGAACACCAAUGGCGAAGGCAAGUCACUGGAAGAAGACUGACACUGAGACACGAAAGCUAGGGUAGCGAAGCAGAUUAGAGACCUGCGUAGUCCUAGCCCUAAACGAAUGUCUGCUAGCUGCAUUUCUUUCCGACUUUGUCGUGAAUAAGGUGUGGCGUAGGUAACCCGUUAAGCAGACCACCUGGGGAGUACGGCCGCAAGGCUAAAACUCAAAGGAAUUGGCGGGGAGGCACACAACCAGAGGAACAUGUGGUUCAAUUCGAGACGAAACGAAGAACCUCACCAGGGUUUGACAUAUUAGCGUUCUAUUUUCUGGAAACAGGAAAAAUCCGCAAGGAGGCUAGUACAGGUGCUGCAUGGCUGUCGUCAGUUCGUUCCGUGAGGAGUGCCCUUAAGUGGGACAACGAACGCAACCCCCAUCUUGUGUUAAAAAUGUCACAAGAGACUGCCCUGAUAUUAUCGGGGAGGAAGGAGGGGCAGACGUCAAGUCAGCAUGGCCCUUAUACCCUGGGCUACACACAUGUUACAAUGGGCAGAACAAUGGGCCUUGCCAGUCUGUAAGGACGAGCGAAUCCCUAAAUCUGUCCUCAGUGGGGAUUGAGGUCUGCAACUCGACCUCAUGAACGUGGAUUUGGUAGUAAUCGCGGGUCAGCUAUACCGCGGUGAAACGUUCUUGCCUCUUGCACACAC
rnacentral:rRNA from 1 species